UUGCCCUCUCCUACAUCUACAAUCUGAGGACGUGAAGAAACCACCCAGUGUCCAUCUGUACCGUGCUUGGCAGGAAGGCUGGCAGCCAGCCCAGGUUCCCAUGGGAUGCUGAUGAUGCUGAUCCAGGAACCACACUUUGAGAACUAAUGGGUUAGAAAAUCUGCUAGAAGACCUGGAGGAAGCCGAAAAGCUUCUUACCCAGUGUCAGUCCACCACCAUCCUUCACCUGGAUUCAUGCAGAGGUCUCUCUGCUUGUCUCUGCAAGUCUUGCUCACUCCUUCCUCCACCAAUUCAUUCUCAGUGCUGCCGGAGUCCUUGUUCUAAGAUAAAGAGGUAGCAGGUAUAAUCUCCAGUGCUGAGCUGGAACACCUAGAACACAGCAUCCCUGGGGUCAGCCCCGUGCCUUGGGGGAUGCGCAGUGUCCUUGUCCUGCCUCCCCAAGGAUGCCA